GAAGCAUUAGAACGAGGACAGAGAGACAUCAAUGGUAAUGGAAUAAUAGGGAAGGUGGGCUUGGUCACGGAGUCGAUGUCGGUGUUUGUGGCGGACUUGGUCAAGGUGUGGGUGGAGGCAUUGGAGGAGGAGCAGGUGAUGGUGGUGGGGGCUUUUCUAAAGCCCCUACCCCCCAAAACCCCAUUUUAUGGGUUGAGAUUGAAUUGGGCCCGGGUUAGCCCCCUAGCCCCCAUUUUUUUUGCGACGACGAAGCAUUUUCAUUUUUUUCGGAACAAACACUUUGUUGAUGGCAGCAUCAACCUCAAAACUUGCAAGAACUGCAAAACCCAAUUCGACCUUUCUCUCAAUCACCCUCUUGCUUGUCGAUUUCACACUGCCCAUUUUGAAGAUAAAUAGUUAAGGUUAUUUAAAUGGGAUUCAAUCCAGAGAACCAGUUGGGUAACCAAGUGGAAUGGGCUAUCAUGUUACUUUGGAGCAUCAAUUUCUAAUUAUUCAUUAUAAAGUUUCUAGUAAAAGCAAGAAGAGUGAAAUUUGGUGUUUGAGUGCAGUUUAUUCAGUUUCAAGGGUAUUUGAUUGGAGUGUAAUGUACAUAUUGCCCCUAAACUAGUUAUAAGGUACACUUAUACAUAUUUUCUGUACCAGCUUCAAUACAGGACCCCAAAAAGAUUGAUUUAAUCAAUCCAUGUUCCUCUCAUUGAUGCUUUGAUGUGUUGUGAAUAGUCAUAAGGGUAAUGGAUCGCAAUUCAAAGCCAUGAUAGUAAUGUUGUAGAAUUUUUUAUUUUAAGAAUUAUUUUGACCUAGUUUUUCUAUAAAACAAGAUAAACUCUAUGACCCAAUUUUCCUUUUAAUCUGAACCAAUUAGGUUGGA